UGAGGAAUAUUGGUCAAUGGGCGCAAGCCUGAACCAGCCAUCCCGCGUGCAGGAUGACGGCCCUAUGGGUUGUAAACUGCUUUUAUACAGGAAGAAAAAUCUCUACGAGUAGGGACUUGCCGGUACUGUAUGAAUAAGCAUCGGCUAACUCCGUGCCAGCAGCCGCGGUAAUACGGAGGAUGCAAGCGUUAUCCGGAUUCAUUGGGUUUAAAGGGUGCGUAGGCGGCUCUUUAAGUCAGUGGUGAAAUCCUGUCGCUCAACGAUAGAAUUGCCAUUGAUACUGAAGAGCUUGAGUUCAGUUGAGGUAAGCGGAAUGUGUAGUGUAGCGGUGAAAUGCUUAGAUAUUACACAGAACACCGAUUGCGAAGGCAGCUUACUAAACUGACACUGACGCUGAUGC
rnacentral:rRNA from 1 species